UACGUAGGCAGCGAGCGUUGUUCGGAGUUACUGGGCGUAAAGGGUGUGUAGGCGGCACUGUUAGUCAGGCGUGAAAGUCCUGGGCUUAACCUGGGAACUGCGCUUGAUACGGCAGAGCUAGAGGAUGGAAGAGGGUCGCGGAAUUCCCAGUGUAGAGGUGAAAUUCGUAGAUAUUGGGAAGAACACCGGUGGCGAAGGCGGCGACCUGGUCCAUUACUGACGCUGAGGCGCGACAGCGUGGGGAGCAAACAGG
rnacentral:rRNA from 1 species